rnacentral:misc_RNA from 1 species
GAUGAAGAACGUAGCGAAAUGCGAUACGUAAUGUGAAUUGCAAAUUCAGUGAAUCAUCGAGUCUUUGAACGCACAUUGCGCCCCCUGGUAUUCCGGGGGGCAUGCCUGUCCGAGCGUCAUUGCUGCCCUCAAGCACGGCUUGUGUGUUGGGCCCCGUCCUCCGAUCCCGGGGGACGGGCCCGAAAGGCAGCGGCGGCACCGCGUCCGGUCCUCGAGCGUAUGGGGCUUUGUCACCCGCUCUGUAGGCCCGGCCGGCGCUUGCCGAUCAACCCAAAUUUUUAUCCAGGUUGACCUCGGAUCAGGUAGGGUUACCCGCCGAACUUAAGCAUAUCAAUAAGCGGAGGA